AGAAGGAAUUAAUGUAUGUAAGGAAGGAAGGAAGGAAGGAAGGAAGGAAGGAAGGAAGGAAGGAAGGAAGGAAGGAAGGAAGGAAGGAAGGAAGGAAGGAAGGAAGGAAGGAAGGAAGGAAGGAAGGAAGGAAGGAAGGAAGGAAGGAAGGAAGGAAGGAAGGAAGGAAGGAAGGAAGGAAGGAAGGAAGGGAAAGCAAGCAGUAUUUGCUCUAUGAAAUGAUCUGAAUUCCCAGAG
rnacentral:lncRNA from 1 species